rnacentral:rRNA from 1 species
AUUGAACGCUGGCGGCAGGCCUAACACAUGCAAGUCGAACGAGUGGCGGACGGGUGAGUAAUGUCUGGGAAACUGCCCGAUGGAGGGGGAUAACUACUGGAAACGGUAGCUAAUACCGCAUACCAUCGGAUGUGCCCAGGUUGGUUUAGCUAGUCGGUGGGGUAACGGCUCACCUAGGCGAAGAUCCCUAGCUGGUCUGAGAGGAUGACCAGCCACACUGGAACUGAGACACGGCCCAGACUCCUACGGGAGGCAGCAGUGGGGAAUAUUGCGCAAUGGGCGAAAGCCUGAUGGAGCCAUGCCGCGUGUAUGAAGAAGGUCUUCGGGUUGUAAAGUACUGUCAGCGAGGAGGCGUUACUCGCAGAAGAAGCACCGGCUAACUCCGUGCCAGCAGCCGCGGUAAUAC